CAGUAGCCGCGGGAAAACGUAGGUGGCAAGCGUUAUCCGGAAUUAUUGGGCGUAAAGCGCGCGUAGGCGGUUUUUUAAGUCUGAUGUGAAAGCCCACGGCUCAACCGUGGAGGGUCAUUGGAAACUGGAAAACUUGAGUGCAGAAGAGGAAAGUGGAAUUCCAUGUGUAGCGGUGAAAUGCGCAGAGAUAUGGAGGAACACCAGUGGCGAAGGCGACUUUCUGGUCUGUAACUGACGCUGAUGUGCGAAAGCGUGGGGAUCAAACAGGAUUAGAUACCCCAGUAGUCCCUGUCUCUUAUAC
rnacentral:rRNA from 1 species